UACGUAGGGUGCAAGCGUUAAUCGGAAUUACUGGGCGUAAAGCGUGCGCAGGCGGUUUGUAAGUCUGACGUGAAAUCCCCGGGCUCAACCUGGGAAUUGCGUUGGAGACUGCAAGGCUGGAGUCUGGCAGAGGGGGGUAGAAUUCACGUGUAGCAGUGAAAUGCGUAGAGAUGGUGGAGGAACACCGAUGGCGAAGGGCAGCCCCCUGG
rnacentral:rRNA from 1 species